UCGAUGUUCUGAGAUCACAGCUUGGUUGUUCUCCCAGGGGCAGGACCAAUGCUACCCGGCCUUCCUGAGCUCCAUCGGAGAACAGGAGCGGUACAGAGCCACUGCGAUGCUGAGUCCACAGCGGCAACAGAUACCAACUGGCAUCUCCACGAAAAGUCACAACUGACCGCCUGGCUGUCAAGAUCUUUGAAUUCCGGCAUUCUUCAGAGACUCUUGGUCACACAUCCCUCAGGCUACUCCCUCCUGGAGGCCGAGUGUACCUCAGGUCCCCACCAUGACCUUGAUGCCCCCCAAAUUAUCAGGCUCACAGAGAACACACACCAUCAAUAAAGUGCCCGUCUCGCUUACUGCAGGAUAUGUGAACAGAUUUUCAGGCUCGCAGAGAACACACACCAUCAAUGAAGUGCCCGUCUCGCUUACUGCAGGAUAUGUGAACAGACAGCAUCACAAUCUACUUAACAAUAUCAAGUUUACUGUGGCUGGGGAUUGAUGAACCAAAGUGAAGUAUGAUAUAUCCACAGGAUGGAACACUAUGGACUUAUUAAAAUUGACAUGGCA